rnacentral:rRNA from 1 species
GACGAACGCUGGCGGCGUGCUUAACACAUGCAAGUCGAACGGAAAGGCCCUGCUUUUGUGGGGUGCUCGAGUGGCGAACGGGUGAGUAACACGUGAGUAACCUGCCCUUGACUUUGGGAUAACUUCAGGAAACUGGGGCUAAUAACGGAUAGGAGCUCCUGCUGCAUGGUGGGGGUGGGAAAGUUUCGGCGGUUGGGGAUGGACUCGCGGCUUAUCAGCUUGUUGGUGGGGUAGUGGCUUACCAAGGCUUUGACGGGUAGCCGGCCUGAGAGGGUGACCGGCCACAUUGGGACUGAGAUACGGCCCAGACUCCUACGGUAGGCAGCAGUGGGGAAUAUUGCACAAUGGGCGGAAGCCUGAUGCAGCAACGCCGCGUGCUGGAUGACGGCCUUCGGGUUGUAAACCGCUUUCGCCUGUGACGAAGCGUGAGUGACGGUAAUGGGUAGAGAAGCACCGGCUAACUACGUG